rnacentral:rRNA from 1 species
UACGGAAGGCAGCAGUGGGGAAUAUUGCACAAUGGGCGCAAGCCUGAUGCAGCCAUGCCGCGUGUAUGAAGAAGGGCCUUCGGGUUGUAAAGUACUUUCAGUCGUGAGGAAGGUGUUAAGGUUAAUAACCUUAGCAAUUGACGUUAGCGACAGAAGAAGCACCGGCUAACUCCGUGCCAGCAGCCGCGGUAAUACGGAGGGUGCGAGCGUUAAUCGGAAUUACUGGGCGUAAAGGGCACGCAGGCGGUUAAUUAAGUUGGAUGUGAAUCCCCGGGCUAACCUGGGAAUGGCAUUCAAGACUGGUUAGCUAGAGUCUUGUAGAGGGGGUAGAAUUCCGAUGUGUAGCGGUGAAAUGCGUAGAGAUGUGGAGGAAUACCGGUGGCGAAGGCGGCCCCUGGGACAAAGACUGACGCUCAUGUGCGAAAGCGUGGGGAGCAAACAGGAUUAGAUACC